rnacentral:rRNA from 1 species
GCUAGUAAUGGCAGGUCAGCAUACUGCCGUGAAUACGUUCCCGGGCCUUGUACACACCGCCCGUCACACCAUGAGAGUUGGAGAUACCCGAAGCCUGUGAGCUAACAAACGAGGCAGCAGUCGAAGGUAGAAUCAAUGAUUGGGGUGAAGUCGUAACAAGGUACC